UCUUUAUAUGAUGCUCCCAGCUGGCCCAACCGAGGCCCAUUCAUCUUGCCGGCUCUGUUACAAAGAGUGUGCUGCCACUGUCACCGUGUUUGGUGCUGUCCAAAUGGAUGUGGUCAGUUCUGUCCCCCUGCCCUGGCAUUCUGACCCCAGUGAUGUAAAGGGGAACACUGACAAAGAGACGCAACCUCAUAAAGCAUUUUCCAGGAGGUUAUGAUUUAUUCUACGUUAUUGGUGUGACAGGGAACAGGGCCAAGAUUCCACCUCCACGAUCCCAGAGGAAGAACAAUCAGGAGAAUUCUCUACAUCGAAGGACCAACAGGGACAGAAACUAGGGCGGGAUCUUCCUGGGAAGCGGCCGGAAAGACUCGGGCUCAGGCCACGGGAGCCAGGCCGACCUGGUUGUUGGCCCUGUCAAAGACGGUGUAGUACUGGCGGAUGAAGAUGUCACCCAAGAUCCAGAGCUCUCCGGAGAAGGUGGGGAUGUUCAUGCCCUGGAAUCCGCUCAUGCAGCUUCCCUGGUUCUGGAGGAAAGAAUGAAACUGGAGCUGGGACACAGACCCAGCAGUGACAGGCGCUGGGGUGUGAGCAUCCAGGGCCGUGGUCCCCUGCCAGAUGAGGAAACUGAGGGCCGGAGAAGUUGCACCACUUGCCUGAGGUGACAUAGCAGUUUCUUAUAAAGUCAACAUGUACCUACCAUUUGGCCCAGAACUCCCUCUUCUUGGUAUUUACUGAAAAGAAAUGAAAAACAUAUGUCCCCACAAAGACCUGGACCCAAAUGUUUAUAACAGCUUUUUUCAUAAUUGCCCCAAACUGGAAACAACUUGAUGUCCUUCAGCUGGUCCCUGGAUAAGUGAGCAGUGUAUGGCCAACGAUGGAGGACCGUCAGCCACAGAAACAGAUGAACUACGGGAUGAAUCUCAUGGGCGUUAUGCUGAGUGAAAGAGGCCAGACGCAAAGGCUACGUUUGUAGGAUUCUAUUUAUAUGCCAUUCUGGAAAAGGCAAAAUGAUGGGAACAGAAAGCAGGUCAGUGGUUUCUAGGGGCUGGGGUCAGAGUAGGAGACUGACUACAAGGUGGGAUGGGGGAACUUUGUGGGGGGAUAAAAGUAGUCUAUCUCUAGAUUGAACACCUGAAGAGGUAAAUUUCACUCGGUGACAAUAGCCCAGACACACCUGACUUUACAGCAGGUGAAGUGCUCAGCCACUGAUGGCCGCACAGUAGGAGCGAAGGCAAAAUUGUGUCCUAGGCUCUGCCCAAGGCUGUGGAGGCCUUGGAGGGGACACACUGGAUUCAUUUCAAGUAAAAUGAUGUCAUCCGACUAAAGAAAACGAAAAAGAAAAGAACAACCAGUCAUCAUCCCUGCUUCCAUUUUGGUCCUUUGAACCAUGAGUGACACCUGUCCACGCUCCGUGUCUUAUGGCAGGGGUGACAAGGUUGGCAGGCUGAGGCAAAGCCCCAAGGAGCUGGGUGGGGACUGUGAAUACUUCUCAGACCCCUGGUCGCUGGGCCAUCCAGAAGGGCUCUUUCAUUCUAUCCAGGCGGUCAGGGUGGAGUGACCAGAGUCCAUCUAGGAGGGACGCUCCCCUGGGCUUCCUGGAGCUGGCUUGCAGUGCUUGGAGCCCAAGAUGAGGCAACGGUUUGUGGGGAACUGCUUGUCUGUGGGACCCACAUGGGAAUUUUGGAUAGAGGAGAAAUACAUUUGGGAGGCAGACUCCUCAGGCAGUAACCUGCAGGACACAUGCACACGUUCAUUCAACACGUGUUUAUUUUGUACCUGCUCUGUCCUGGGUUUGCACGGUCUAGUUGCUGGGGGUGCAUCCACGAGGAAGAUGGAACUAGGCCAUGCCUUCGAGGAGUCUGAGGUCAGGUCAGGAGAGGACCGAGGGGGAGGCCCCUUUCCUUUCCACCUGGGGAGGCCUUUGGACCACACUAAUGGGAAGCCCUAAUGGGACUGAUGAAGAUACUGAAGUUCGGGGAAAACUUCAUAAGUGGGAGGCUGACACGCUUGAUGUCACCAAUUCCCAAUACAUGGUUGACUCUGUGAUGGCCCCCAAUUAUCCUCAUCUCCUGCUAUUCAUGCCUCUUGUAAUCCCCUCCCCUUGAACGUACGCAAGACCGAUGACUUGCUUCUCGUCAAUAGGAUAUGGCAAAGCGGAUGGGGUGUCACUUUUGUGAUUACAUUAUGUGAGAUUGUUACUUGGGUCUUGCCAGCAGACUCUUCAUGUAGACUUUCUCCCUUGCUGGCUCUGAAUAAACAAGCUGCCCCAUGAGGAGGCCCACAUGGCAAGGAACGGAGGGUGACCUCCAGCCUCCAGCCAGCAAGGAACUGACGGCCCCAGUCUGACAACCCCCAAGAAACUGAAUCUUGCCAGUGACCCUGUGAGCCUAGAAGAUGACCUUCUCCAUUCGAGCUUCAGAUGAUACCACAUCCCUGGCUGACACCUUGACUGCAGCCUUAUCAGAGGCCCUGAAACAGAGGAGGCCCUGCAGCCAAACAAGGCCUGGAUUCCUGACUCACAAAAAUGCUGAGAUAAUAAAUGUGAGGUGUUGUAAGUUGCUAAGUUUGUGUUAAUUUGUCACCAGCAAUGGAAAGCUAAUACAGGGCUAGAAACCUCCUAGAAAAUUCCACAAAGGUCCACCUGGCUGCCUCAUGCUUUUCUCCAUUUGGGGGCCAUUUCAGUGUUCUGCAAGGUGGUUUUCUGCUCAGGCAAUACAAGUGACCUGAGAAGGAGGGAGUUGACAUCAUUGGUCUGCUUAUCUGCAAACCCCCAUCAGUACAGCCAGGACUGCAUUUCUGUGGCUCUUCAUGCUUUUCUGAGUGCUUUGAGAUACAUGCUCUUUUGAAAACGUAUUAUUCCUGCAUUAUCCCCAUUGACACAGUUCAGAAGAGUUAAGUGAUCAGUGCAGGUUCACAUAGCUAAGUAGUGACACAGGCAGGACUGGAACCCGGGUCUUAGAAGGCUCUGGUCUUGGGAGGCUCUUGUCCCGGGCCGGGCUCUGUGGCCACACACAUCCACCUGGUUUCUGUCCGUUGGUUCGAGUGUACAGUGGACAUUCCAUGAUGGCUGCCGCCCAUCACAGCCCAGGGGCACUCAGAGAAGCCAUCCUAUCCAGUCCCCAGAGGAGCUCUUGGGAGGGAAGGUGGAAUCCUGACUCUAGGACUGAGCAUUCUCCAUGAAGUCUGACGUCAGCCAGGGCUGAUCCGUGACCGCCAGCAGGGAAACCACGUAAUCUCAUUGUGCCAGACUGGCUUGGCAGAAAGAUUAGAUAGCAACAUUUACUUUGCCAUUAGCCUUACCUGACACUUGGCUUUGAGGGGCCUUGCGAACUGCACUGCCAAUGCAUGGUACCCCCUGCCAAGGGCACAGGUGUUCAGAAAUGUUCCGUGAACAUAGCAAAUCAAGCAGUGGAAGGAAAUCUAGAGAAGUGAAUUAUGGCAAGCCUGGCAUGGAAUAUUAAGCAUGACAAGUGUUUCUGAGCGGGUCUGAGAGGCCUUGGGAUGGCUGGUCCCCUGGGAUCUUUCAGUCAGGGUCUCACCCCAGGCACGUGGUCAUCCAAUAAUACAGAGAGCAUUUUUCCACUCCCCAGUCCCCGAUCUGUGGAGUUUCUCCAGGCUUUAAAAAUGAAAAUUUUAAUUAAGAAC